GGGUGUGUCACAGUUCUACUGUAGCUAAUUAUGGAGAGGGUAUGGAGGUACCAAAGGAUUUACGGGUCUUCACAUAAUCACACUUCAAAAUACGAACUGCCGCAGGAGACAAUCAAUGGAAGAAAAAUAGAGGUUUAUUUGUGAUGCAGCUGCUUCCCUGUGAAGAAGUGACUGUCCUGCAUCCUCCCACCCUGGGGACCCAGGUGUUGGGUAUUUGGUCCCAGAAAUGAGAAAAGUGACUAAGAUAUGGAUCUUGAAGAAUAAUGAAGAAUUUUAUCAAAGUAUGUGGGAGAGAGAGAAACUUUCAUGUUUCAGGCCCAGAAGCAAUGAAGCCAGAUGACCAUGCACUUAAAACUCUGAUGCUGUGAACCAAAGUAACCUUUUCCUCCUUCGAGUUUGCAAUAUCUUGUCCAGUGAUGGAAAGCUAACACAAAUGGAACCAUGAGGCCUUCUGUAGGAAGUUGCUGAUUAAAAUAGAAGUUGCAUCAUAGGCAACUAUAACUAGGUGGACUGAUAAUAGUACGUGGCCUGGAAAAUGAGGCAGACAAGUUUGGAGUUGGUACCAAAACACUCUGUAUUCUUAAUAUUUUGAGUAAUGUGAGAAAUAUAUUUUAUAAAGCAUGAUGUGAAAGCAUUAUUAAGAUUAAAUUGCAAACGGA